rnacentral:rRNA from 1 species
UACGAAGGGGGCUAGCGUUGCUCGGAAUUACUGGGCGUAAAGCGCGUGUAGGCGGUUGUCCAAGUCGGGGGUGAAAGCCUUGAGCUCAACUCAAGAAAUGCACUCGGUACUGGGUGACUAGAGGACCGGAGAGGAUAGUGGAAUUCCCAGUGUAGUGGUGAAAUACGUAGAGAUUGGGAAGAACACCAGUGGCGAAGGCGGCUAUCUGGACGGUUUCUGACGCUAAGACGCGAAAGCGUGGGGAGCAAACAGG